rnacentral:rRNA from 1 species
UACAGAGGUCCCAAGCGUUGUUCGGAUUCACUGGGCGUAAAGGGUGCGUAGGUGGCUUGGUAAGUUCGAUGUGAAAUCUCCGGGCUUAACCCGGAAAUGGCAUUGAAUACUAUUGAGCUGGAGGUUUGGAGGGGGGACUGGAAUUCUCGGUGUAGCAGUGAAAUGCGUAGAUAUCGAGAGGAACACCAGUGGCGAAAGGCGAGUCCCUGGACAACACCUGACACUGAGGCACGAAAGCUAGGGGAGCAAAACAGG